rnacentral:rRNA from 1 species
CGGGUUGUAAAGCACUUUCAGUCGUGAGGAAGGUAGUGUAGUUAAUAGCUGCAUUAUUUGACGUUAGCGACAGAAGAAAGCACCGGCUAACUCCGUGCCAGCAGCCGCGGUAAUACGGAGGGUGCGAGCGUUAAUCGGAAUUACUGGGCGUAAAGCGCAUGCAGGUGGUUUGUUAAGUCAGAUGUGAAAGACCCGGGGCGUCAACCUCGGAAUUGCAUUUGAAACUAGGCAGACUAGAGUACUGUAGAGGGGGGUAGGAAUUUCAGGUGUAGCGGUGAAAUAGCGUAGAGAUCUGAAGGAAUACCGGUGGCGAAGGCGGCCCCCUCGGACAGAUACUGACACUCAGAUGCGAAAGCGUGGGGAGCAAACAGGAUUAGAUACCCUGGUAG